UACGGGGGGAGCAAGCGUUGUUCGGAUUUACUGGGCGGAAAGGGCGCGUAGGCGGCCAGCGCAAGUCAGUUGUGAAAUCUCCGGGCUUAACUCGGAACGGUCAACUGAUACUGCGCGGCUAGAGUGCAGAAGGGGCAACUGGAAUUCUCGGUGUAGCGGUGAAAUGCGUAGAUAUCGAGAGGAACACCUGCGGCGAAGGCGGGUUGCUGGGCUGACACUGACGCUGAUGCGCGAAAGCCAGGGGAGCGAACGGG
rnacentral:rRNA from 1 species